CAUGAAAAGCAGCAUUGAAACUCAGAAUCCAGAUUUAAGUCUCAAUUAACUCACUGGUCUUGGUUUUAGCCCUAAGAACCAAUCAUCUUGGUGUUAGCACGGAAAGUCAUGUGUUGCAGGAAACCCCUAAGUUCCAGGACUUGACCUCUUGCCCACCAGAUAACUCUUGUUAAAACAGAUUUCAAGUCAUAAUAUCUCCUGAAAACUCUUGGUUCAUUGUCAUGCAUCCCCUGGUACUAUUAUACACAUCCAUUACAAGAAGAAAGCUAACAGAAAAUAUGCUUCCUUGCCAGAGUAUAUACUACUAACUUGGAAUCGCAGCAUUAUUUUUAUCUAUGAACUCUAUAGUUUAGCUUAUUAAUAUGCUCAUGAAGUCAUUAGCAGUUUCAACAUUUGCAAUAAGUCAAUUUGGUUAUACUCAUAAUAAAUUAAAAUUAAAAUA